GGGAUGACGGCCUUCGGGUUGUAAACCUCUUUCAGCAGGGAAGAAGCGAAAGUGACGGUACCUGCAGAAGAAGCGCCGGCUAACUACGUGCCAGCAGCCGCGGUAAUACGUAGGGCGCAAGCGUUGUCCGGAAUUAUUGGGCGUAAAGAGCUCGUAGGCGGCUUGUCACGUCGGGUGUGAAAGCCCGGGGCUUAACCCCGGGUCUGCAUUCGAUACGGGCAGGCUAGAGUGUGGUAGGGGAGAUCGGAAUUCCUGGUGUAGCGGUGAAAUGCGCAGAUAUCAGGAGGAACACCGGUGGCGAAGGCGGAUCUCUGGGCCAUUACUGACGCUGAGGAGCGAAAGCGUGGGGAGCGAACAGGAUUAGAUACCCUGGUAGUCCACGCCGUAAACGGUGGGAACUAGGUGUUGGCGACAUUCCACGUCGUCGGUGCCGCAGCUUACGCAUUAAGUUCCCCGCCUGGGGAGUACGGCCGCAAGGCUAAAACUCAAAGGAAUUGACGGGGGCCCGCACAAGCAGCGGAGCAUGUGGCUUAAUUCGACGCAACGCGAAGAACCUUACCAAGGCUUGACAUACACCGGAAAGCAUUAGAGAUAGUGCCCCCC
rnacentral:rRNA from 1 species